AGUCGAGGGGUAUAGUAGCAAUACUAGAGACCGGCGCACGGGUGCGUAACGCGUAUGCAAUCUACCUUUCACAGAGGGAUAGCCCAGAGAAAUUUGGAUUAAUACCUCAUAGUAUAAUGAGUUGGCAUCAACCCAUUAUUAAAGUCACAACGGUGAAAGAUGAGCAUGCGUCCCAUUAGCUAGUUGGUAAGGUAACGGCUUACCAAGGCUACGAUGGGUAGGGGUCCUGAGAGGGAGAUCCCCCACACUGGUACUGAGACACGGACCAGACUCCUACGGGAGGCAGCAGUGAGGAAUAUUGGUCAAUGGGCGCAAGCCUGAACCAGCCAUGCCGCGUGCAGGAUGACGGUCCUAUGGAUUGUAAACUGCUUUUGUACGGGAAGAAACCCUCCAACGUGUUGGAGCUUGACGGUACCGUAAGAAUAAGGAUCGGCUAACUCCGUGCCAGCAGCCGCGGUAAUACGGAGGAUCCAAGCGUUAUCCGGAAUCAUUGGGUUUAAAGGGUCCGUAGGCGGUUUAGUAAGUCAGUGGUGAAAGCCCAUCGCUCAACGGUGGAACGGCCAUUGAUACUGCUAGACUUGAAUUAUUAGGAAGUAACUAGAAUAUGUAGUGUAGCGGUGAAAUGCUUAGAGAUUACAUGGAAUACCAAUUGCGAAGGCAGGUUACUACUAAUGGAUUGACGCUGAUGGACGAAAGCGUGGGUAGCGAACAGGAUUAGAUACCCUGGUAGUCCACGCCGUAAACGAUGGAUACUAACUGUUGGGAGCGAUCU
rnacentral:rRNA from 1 species